AGGACGAACGCUGGCGGCGUGCUUAACACAUGCAAGUCGAGCGGAAAGGCCCUUCGGGGUACUCGAGCGGCGAACGGGUGAGUAACACGUGGGCAACCUGCCCUUGGCUCUGGGAUAGCUCCGGGAAACCGGAAUUAAUACCGGAUAUGACCUAGGCCGACAUCGGCCGUGGUGGAAAGUUUUUCGGCUAGGGAUGGACUCGCGGCCUAUCAGCUAGUUGGUGGGGUAAUGGCCUACCAAGGCGACGACGGGUAGCCGGCCUGAGAGGGCGACCGGCCACACUGGGACUGAGACACGGCCCAGACUCCUACGGGAGGCAGCAGUGGGGAAUCUUGCGCAAUGGGCGAAAGCCUGACGCAGCGACGCCGCGUGGGGGAUGAAGGCCUUCGGGUUGUAAACCCCGUUUCAGCAGGGACGAAGCGAAAGUGACGGUACCUGCAGAAGAAGCGCCGGCUAACGUACGCGCCAGCAGCCGC
rnacentral:rRNA from 1 species